rnacentral:lncRNA from 9 species
AGUUCACAGAGAGAAAACACCUGAGUGGUUUGACUGAUGCCUCUAGAUGAUGGGCUUCAUUAUUUUAGAGGAGGCAUAAGAGAAGAGAGAUGUCCUGUGUAUGCUAAGAAACUUAGAAUUGUCUGUUGGAGAUUAAUCCAGGGGAAAAGGCAAGAAAAACAAUUUUAAUCUAUAUAGGAGGCAACAGAGAAGUUUCUGGGAUUCCAUUUUUCACAUCUUACAUCAUAACGAAUAAAUUAUCCAAGAUCAUGUCAGCUGCCCUUCUAAUCACCAUGCUAAAUUUGUUUUAUCAAGUUGCUUCUGAGAAGCCCAGAGAAAAUGAAAAUUGUUCUGACAAAAAUAUAAUAAUAAUAGUGCUUGGAAUCAUUGCUGCAAUAAUGACACUUUUAUUUUUAUUUUUUUGCAUACAUUUUUUCAAAACAAGAGGUAUAUUUUUGUGGCUAAAGUUGUUACUGCUGAGAAGACAGAAACCAGGAAGCUGUGAUGAUGUGAUGCAAAGAUUAUCCUAAACUCAAAAAAUGUCACCUGGUCAUCAAUGAUCUCUGCCUCUAGGUUCUCUCCAUGGACAUUCAGAAAGAAUAUGGAGUUCCCAUGUCAGGGAUCGGAUCUGAGCCUCAUUUGCUACUUACACCACAGCUGCAGCAAUGCUGGAUCCUUAACCCACUGUGCUGGGCUGGGGCUCAAACCUGUGUUUCAGAGCUCCCAAGAUGCCUCCAAUCUCAUUGCAUGACAGUAGGAACUCCUAUUUUUUAAAAAUUUUGUCACAGUAUAGUUCACUUACAAUGGUGUGUUUCAGGUGUAUAACAAAGUGAUACAGUUAUACAUAUAAAUAUAUCCAUUCCUUUUCAGAUUCUUUAAAUUUACAUUAGUAUGUCUUAUUUUUUUCUCAUUCCAACUGAAGUCACCAAAAUUAUUUCCAUUUGCACUUAAGCUCUAUCGGUUUUCCAUGAUGCAAGGUGUUCUCUAUAAAAAAAUCUAUGUAUAUGAAAUGUUUUUGACAAUGGAUUCUGCUAAUUAUAUUUACUUCUGAAUUUAUGAAUAUUUAGGUGGAGGAAAUGUACACUUUCUCUAAAACAUACUCAGAUCAUUUUCUUUUUAAACCACUAUACAAAUUGGGUAAAGUUUAUUUUUAUUCUUAUUGAGAUGUUUAGAAUUAAUUACCCUCUAUUACAAUAGAUAUUAGAUAAUAAACAAUCUUUAGUUCUCAGUAAGUAACAUUAGUAAAAAGUAAAUAAACUGAGGAAACAAACAAAAAAAACAUAAUAAUUGGCAUAUUGCAGAACCGAACUCUCGUUUUUCAAUUCUUUUAAAGACACAGGUUAAUAGUAGCAAUGUUAUUGAGCUGAUUUUUUUAAGGUGUGAUUUUUUUUUUAAUUUUCUAAAGAUUUUUAUUUUUUCCAUUGGAGUUGGUUUACAGUGUUCUGUCAAUUUCUACUGUACAGCAUAGUGACUCAGUCACAAAUAUAUAUACAUUCUUUUUCUCAUAUUAUCCUCCAUCAUGUUGCAUCACAAGUGACUAGAUGUAGUUCUCUGUGCUAUACAGCAGGAUCUCAUUGCUUAUCCACUCCAAAUGCAAUAGUUUAAGUGAAGGUUUCCCAUACAAAGAAAAUUCUUAUUGUAAGUUUGAAUAUAUUUCAAAUUCAUGGCAUAAUUUUUUAAAUUUCAUUUUAUUGUGGUAAGAACACAAUGUGAGCUCUACCCUCUUAACAAAUGUUUAAGUGUACAAUACAAUUUUGUUAACUAUAGGUACAAUGUUGCGCAGCAAAUCUCUAGGAUGUAUGUCCCUUCGUUAGUAAUUUCCCAUUUGACCCUCAACAUGGCCCCUGACAACCAUUAUUUCACUCUUUAAUUCUAUUGAUUUGACUCUUUUAGAUGCUAUAUGUCAAUCAUGCAGUAAUUGCCUUUUUGUAGCUGACAAGUCACUUGACAUAAUAUCCUCAAGGUUUAUCCACAUUGUCACAUAUUGCAGAAUUUCCUUCUUCUUAAUGCUGAACAAUAUUAUAU